GAUGAACGCUGGCGGCGUGCUUAACACAUGCAAGUCGAACGGGAUCCAUCAAGCUUGCUUGGUGGUGAGAGUGGCGAACGGGUGAGUAAUGCGUGACCGACCUGCCCCAUACACCGGAAUAGCUCCUGGAAACGGGUGGUAAUGCCGGAUGCUCCAGUUGAUCGCAUGGUCUUCUGGGAAAGCUUUCGCGGUAUGGGAUGGGGUCGCGUCCUAUCAGCUUGACGGCGGGGUAACGGCCCACCGUGGCUUCGACGGGUAGCCGGCCUGAGAGGGCGACCGGCCACAUUGGGACUGAGAUACGGCCCAGACUCCUACGGGAGGCAGCAGUGGGGAAUAUUGCACAAUGGGCGCAAGCCUGAUGCAGCGACGCCGCGUGAGGGAUGGAGGCCUUCGGGUUGUAAACCUCUUUUAUCGGGGAGCAAGCGAGAG
rnacentral:rRNA from 1 species